rnacentral:rRNA from 2 species
UGGGGAAUAUUGGGCAAUGGAGGAAACUCUGACCCAGCGACGCCGCGUGCGGGAUGAAGGCCUUCGGGUUGUAAACCGCUUUCAGUAGGGAAGAAGCGAAAGUGACGGUACCUACAAAAGAAGCACCGGCUAACUAUGUG